rnacentral:rRNA from 1 species
AGGACGAACGCUGGCGGCGUGCUUAACACAUGCAAGUCGAGCGGAAAGGCCCUUCGGGGUACUCGAGCGGCGAACGGGUGAGUAACACGUGAGCAACCUGCCCUUAGCUCCGGGAUAGCUCCGGGGAACCGGAAUUAAUACCGGAUACGACCACGGCCGACAUCUGCUGUGGUGGAAAGGAUUCCGGCUAAGGAUGGGCUCGCGGCCUAUCAGCUAGUUGGUGGAGUAACGGCCCACCAAGGCGACGACGGGUA